UACAGAGGUCUCAAGCGUUGUUCGGAUUCAUUGGGCGUAAAGGGUGCGUAGGCGGCGCGGUAAGUCGGGUGUGAAAUCUCGGAGCUUAACUCCGAAACUGCAUUCGAUACUGCCGUGCUUGAGGACUGGAGAGGAGACUGGAAUUUACGGUGUAGCGGUGAAAAUGCGUAGAUAUCGUAAGGAAGACCAGGUGGCGAAGGCGGGUCUCUGGAC
rnacentral:rRNA from 1 species